AUUGAACGCUGGCGGCAGGCCUAACACAUGCAAGUCGAACGGUAACAGGAAGCAGCUUGCUGCUUUGCGUACGAGUGGCGGACGGGUGAGAAAUGUCUGUGAAACUGCCUGAUGGAGGGGGAAAACUACUGGAAACGGUAGCUAAAACCGCAUAACGUCGCAAGACCAAAGAGGGGGACCGUCGGGCCUCUUGCCAUCGGAUGUGCCCAGAUGGGAUUAGCUAGUAGGUGGGGUAACGGCUCACCUAGGCGACGAUCCCUAGCUGGUCUGAGAGGAUGACCAGCCACACUGGAACUGAGACACGGUCCAGACUCCUACGGGAGGCAGCAGUGGGGAAUCUUGCACAAUGGGCGCAAGCCUGAUGCAGCCAUGCCGCGUGUAUGAAGAAGGCCUUCGGGUUGUAAAGUACUUUCAGCGGGGAGGAAGGGAGUAGUGUUAAUACCUUUGCUCAUUGACGUUACCCGCAGAAGAAGCACCGGCUAACUCCGUG
rnacentral:rRNA from 1 species